rnacentral:rRNA from 1 species
GAUGAACGCUAGCUACAGGCUUAACACAUGCAAGUCGAGGGGAAACGAUAUUGGAAGCUUGCUUCCGAUAGGCGUCGACCGGCGCACGGGUGAGUAACGCGUAUCCAACCUGCCCAUCACUUGGGGAUAACCUUGCGAAAGUAAGACUAAUACCCAAUGACGUCUCUAGAAGACAUCUGAAGGAGAUUAAAGAUUUAUCGGUGAUGGAUGGGGAUGCGUCUGAUUAGCUUGUUGGCGGGGUAACGGCCCACCAAGGCGACGAUCAGUAGGGGUUCUGAGAGGAAGGUCCCCCACAUUGGAACUGAGACACGGUCCAAACUCCUACGGGAGGCAGCAGUGAGGAAUAUUGGUCAAUGGGCGAGAGCCUGAACCAGCCAAGUAGCGUGCAGGAAGACGGCCCUAUGGGUUGUAAACUGCUUUUAUAAGGGAAUAAAGUGGGAGUCGUGACUCCUUUUGCAUGUACCUUAUGAAUAAGGACCGGCUAAUUCCGUGCCAGCCGCCGCGGUAA